rnacentral:rRNA from 1 species
GAUGAACGCUGGCGGCGUGCCUAAUACAUGCAAGUCGAGCGAACGGACGAGAAGCUUGCUUUUCUGAUGUUAGCGGCGGACGGGUGAGUAACACGUGGAUAACCUACCUAUAAGACUGGGAUAACUUCGGGAAACCGGAGCUAAUACCGGAUAAUAUUUUGAACCGCAUGGUUCAAAAGUGAAAGACGGUCUUGCUGUCACUUAUAGAUGGAUCCGCGCUGCAUUAGCUAGUUGGUAAGGUAACGGCUUACCAAGGCAACGAUGCAUAGCCGACCUGAGAGGGGGAUCGGCCACACUGGAACGGGGACACGGUCCAGACUCCUACGGGAGGCAGCAGUAGGGAAUCUUCCGCAAUGGGCGAAAGCCUGACGGAGCAACGCCGCGUGAGUGAUGAAGGUCUUCGGAUCGUAAAACUCUGUUAUUAGGGAAGAACAUAUGUGUAAGUAACUGUGCACAUCUUGACGGUACCUAAUCAGAAAGCCACGGCUAACUACGUG